AUUGAACGCUGGCGGCAGGCCUAACACAUGCAAGUCGAGCGGAGCGGGGGACGGGUGAGCAAUGCCUUGGAACCUGCGUGGUUGUGGGGGAUAACGUGCGGAAACGGGGGCAAAUCACGUAUACGAUCAGAUGAGCGGAGGUCGGAUGAGCUAGUUGGUGGGUUAAAGGCCUACCAAGGCGACGAUCCGUAACUGGUCUGAGAGGAUGAGCAGUCACACUGGAACUGAGACACGGUCCAGACUCCUACGGGAGGCAGCAGUGGGGAAUAUUGGACAAUGGGCGAAAGCCUGAUCCAGCCAUGCCGCGUGUGUGAAGAAGGUCUUCGGAUUGUAAAGCACUUUAAGUUGGGAGGCGUUACCAACAGAAUAAGCACCGGCUAACUUCGUGCCAGCCGCCGCGGUAAUUC
rnacentral:rRNA from 1 species